GUCUGACGGAGCAACGCCGCGUGAGUGAUGAAGGUUUUCGGAUCGUAAAGCUCUGUUGUUAGGGAAGAACAAGUGCCGUUCAAAUAGGGCGGCACCUUGACGGUACCUAACCAGAAAGCCACGGCUAACUUCGUGCCAGCAGCCGCGGUAAUACGUAGGUGGCAAGCGUUGUCCGGAAUUAUUGGGCGUAAAGGGCUCGCAGGCGGUUUCUUAAGUCUGAUGUGAAAGCCCCCGGCUCAACCGGGGAGGGUCAUUGGAAACUGGGGAACUUGAGUGCAGAAGAGGAGAGUGGAAUUCCACGUGUAGCGGUGAAAUGCGUAGAGAUGUGGAGGAACACCAGUGGCGAAGGCGACUCUCUGGUCUGUAACUGACGCUGAGGAGCGAAAGCGUGGGGAGCGAACAGGAUUAGAUACCCUGGUAGUCCACGCCGUAAACGAUGAGUGCUAAGUGUUAGGGGGUUUCCGCCCCUUAGUGCUGCAGCUAACGCAUUAAGCACUCCGCCUGGGGAGUACGGUCGCAAGACUGAAACUCAAAGGAAUUGACGGGGGCCCGCACAAGCGGUGGAGCAUGUGGUUUAAUUCGAAGCAACGCGAAGAACCUUACCAGGUCUUGACAUCCUCUGACAAUCCUAGAGAUAGGACGUCCCCUUCGGGGGCAGAGUGACAGGUGGUGCAUGGU
rnacentral:rRNA from 1 species